GAUGAAGAACGUAGCGAAAUGCGAUAAGUAAUGUGAAUUGCAGAAUUCAGUGAAUCAUCGAAUCUUUGAACGAACAUUGCGCCCGCCAGUAUUCUGGCGGGCAUGCCUGUUCGAGCGUCAUUUCAACCCUCAGGCCCCCAGUGCCUGGCGUUGGGGAUCGGCGCGGCGCCCUCCGGGGCGCUGCCGGCCCCGAAAUUCAGUGGCGGUCUCGCUGUAGCCCUCCUCCGCGUAGUAGCACAACCUCGCGGCCUGGAGCUCGGCGGUGGCCAUGCCGUAAAACACCCCACUUCUGAAAGUUGACCUCGGAUCAGGUAGGAAUACCCGCUGAACUUAAGCAUAUCAAUAAGCGGAGGA
rnacentral:misc_RNA from 1 species